rnacentral:rRNA from 1 species
AUUGAACGCUGGCGGCAGGCCUAACACAUGCAAGUCGAACGAGUGGCGGACGGGUGAGUAAUGUCUGGGAAACUGCCUGAUGGAGGGGGAUAACUACUGGAAACGGUAGCUAAUACCGCAUACCAUCGGAUGUGCCCAGAUGGGAUUAGCUCGUAGGUGGGGUAAAGGCUCACCUAGGCGACGAUCCCUAGCUGGUCUGAGAGGCUGACCAGCGACACUGGAACUGAGACAAGGGACAGACUCCUACGGGAGGCAGGAGUGGGGAAGAUUGCACAAUGGGCGCAAGCCUGAUGCAGCCAUGCCGCGUGUAUGAAGAAGGCCUUCGGGUUGUAAAGUACUUUCAGCGGGGAGGCGUUACCCGCAGAAGAAGCACCGGCUAACUCCGUGCCAGCAGCCGCGGUAAUUC